CCUAGCUAGCUAUGAGCUAUUGGACUAUUGGUGUGUGUCUGAGCCACUUUGUCUAAUUUCCUGAAUCCUUUGUCGUAACCUUCUCCUGUGGUCUUGGAUUUUCCAUAGCCCAUGGCCAAGAACCACGGUGGAGUAUAUGCCGUGGGUGAUCAUAGGUGCUAGAAUGUUGUCCGUCUGCAAUAUAUGUGUGUUAUAUGGUCAUGUCAAUCAGCUGUAAGCAAAUCAGUCUGAAUUUGGUAGCUAGCUAGCUCGAAAAGACUCUAAUUAUAACAUGCAUGUUUCACCUGGAUCCAUUCAAAGCCAAGGUAGAAAGCCAGGAUUCCUUCUAGAAGAGGGGAGUAUAUCUUCCUCAUCUGCCUCCUUUCGUACCAGGCUGAGAUCAAAAUCCAAGAAUAAUACAGUUAAGCAGGAUACAUAUAACUGCACAUCGAUCCAUCUCUUGGAUACAGACACACGUACG
rnacentral:lncRNA from 1 species